rnacentral:misc_RNA from 1 species
AAGAAAUUUAAUAAUUUUGAAAAUGGAUUUUUUUGUUUUGGCAAGAGCAUGAGAGCUUUUACUGGGCAAGAAGACAAGAGAUGGAGAGUCCAGCCGGGCCUGCGCUUAAGUGCGCGGUCUUGCUAGGCUUGUAAGUUUCUUUCUUGCUAUUCCAAACGGUGAGAGAUUUCUGUGCUUUUGUUAUAGGACAAUUAAAACCGUUUCAAUACAACACACUGUGGAGUUUUCAUAUCUUUGCAACUUUUUCUUUGGGCAUUCGAGCAAUCGGGGCCCAGAGGUAACAAACACAAACAAUUUUAUUUAUUCAUUAAAUUUUUGUCAAAAACAAGAAUUUUCGUAACUGGAAAUUUUAAAAUAUUA